AUUGAACGCUGGCGGCAUGCCUAACACAUGCAAGUCGAACGAGUGGCGGACGGGUGAGUAAUGUCUGGGAAACUGCCCGAUGGAGGGGGAUAACUACUGGAAACGGUAGCUAAUACCGCAUACCAUCGGAUGUGCCCAGAUGGGAUUAGCUAGUAGGUGUGGUAACGGCUCACCUAGCCGACGACCGAUAGCUGGUCUGAGAGGGUGACCAGCCACAAUGGAACUGAGACACGGUCCAGACUCCUACGGGAGGCAGCAGUGGGGAAUAUUGGGCAAUGGGCGCAAGCCUGAUUCAGCAAUGCCGCGUGUAUGAAGAAGGCCUUCGGGUUGUAAAGUACUGUCAGCGGGGAGGCGUUACCCGCAGAGGAAGCACCGGCUAACUCCGUGCCAGCAGCCGCGGUAAUAC
rnacentral:rRNA from 1 species